rnacentral:rRNA from 1 species
GUAGGGUGCGAGCGUUAAUCGGAAUUACUGGGCGUAAAGCGAGCGCAGACGGUUACUUAAGCAGGAUGUGAAAUCCCCGGGCUCAACCUGGGAACUGCGUUCUGAACUGGGUGACUAGAGUGUGUCAGAGGGAGGUAGAAUUCCACGUGUAGCAGUGAAAUGCGUAGAGAUGUGGAGGAAUACCGAUGGCGAAGGCAGCCUCCUGGGAUAACACUGACGUUCAUGCUCGAAAGCGUGGGUAGCAAACAGGAUUAGAUACCCUGGUAGUCAAGGGCG